rnacentral:rRNA from 1 species
UACGGAGGAUCCAAGCGUUAUCCGGAAUCAUUGGGUUUAAAGGGUCCGUAGGCGGUCUAAUAAGUCAGUGGUGAAAGCCCAUCGCUCAACGAUGGAACGGCCAUUGAUACUGUUAAACUUGAAUUAUUGGGAAGUAACUAGAAUAUGUAGUGUAGCGGUGAAAUGCUUAGAUAUUACAUGGAAUACCAAUUGCGAAGGCAGGUUACUAUCAAUAUAUUGACGCUGAUGGACGAAAGCGUGGGGAGCGAACAGG